CCCGCAAAAAACCAGCCUCUCGAUCCCAUCCCCGAUCUCCAGCCUCUGGAUAGGUGCUCUUUCGUUGCCACCACCGCCGCUGUCCGAGGGGAGACGUCGCCGCCGCCGAGGGGAGACGCCGCCACCCUGGGGAGACGCCACCGCCUCCCUUGGCGCCGUAUUCCCUCGACGCGUUCUUCCGGAAUGCCGCGGAGAAGAAGACCGCCGGGGCGCAGCAGGAGGAGCCCUCGCCGCCGGCCGCCGCGGACUCCCUCCUCGCCAAUCUGUUCGCGGGCGUCUCGGCCGUCAAGGCGGCCUACGCGCAGCUGAAGCUCGCGCAGUUCCCCUAUGAUGCGGAGGCCAUUCAGUCCGCGGACGCUGCCGUGGUCGCGGAGCUCACCAAGUUGUCCGAGACCAAGCGGAGGUUCCUCAAGGAUCCCGCAGGCGCGGCCAGGGACGCCGCGGCCGCGGGCAACACCGCCCUCUCCGCGCAUGCUGAGGAGCAGCGGCAUCUGCUCAAGACGUACCAGAUCACGGCGCGCAAGCUGGAGGCGGAGCUUCGUGCGAAGGAUGCGGAGCUCGACCGCGCCAAAGGAUCCCUCGAUGCGGAUAACAUAAGCUCUUCUUUUUUCUUUUGUGUUUGAAUCAGAUUUGGUGGUCUCCAUUUUACAGGCAUCUAUUGAUCUUGGUCUUGUUCUAUAUGCAGGGUACACUCAAUGUUUCACGUUUGGUGAAAGAAAAGAGUCUGAUUUGUUGAUUUUGUGCAAGAUUGUAUGAUCUUCCAUGUAUUAGUAGAUCAGUUGCUUCUCUUUGUAGGGGGCGAUUACUGAUCCAACCUAAUUUAUUUCAUAUAUGCCCAACUUGGUUCGAUCGAAUUUGCCAUAUAGUAGGCUUAUGAAUGUGUUUUAGUUUCUUUCAGCUGAAUAUAUAUCAGUCAUGUUUUACUGGCAUUUUAUCUUUCAAGAUGAAGGAGCGGAGUUACUCAUGCGGAGCUGUUCAGGGUUCAAGGAGAUACACCCGAUUGAACAAGGUUGCAGCAGAAACUCAAGUCCAACAAUGUUCUUAGAGGCUUGUGAGUUGUUGGGCGUGAAGCCUGAAGAUAUUGUGCUCAGUCUACAUGACUAAUCGGGUCCUUUGUUGAUGACUUUGGAUCAUCAUUUAUUCCGAAAUGAGCUGAAUAUGGUUGCCUCCUUCCGUUCCAUGAGGAAAAGCUCUCCGCGAGGGCAAGAUCAGGAGCAUGAUGGAGACAGUAAGCUUGCAGCCCAUAGUGGAUGGCCAGUGUAGCGUGCCAUCCAAACCUGUCAUCUGAUGAAGGUAACUGAACCCAUCCAAGCUCCAUGUUCUCUCGGUUAGAUGAAGAUGGGGGCACAAUUUUCUCAAAUGCAAGAAGAUGAAAGCAGUCUGGCACAUACAGGGGCUUAUUAUCACAUUCUCUUUGCAGUCGGUUUGGUUAUGGGAAGCAUCUUUGUCAACCGCUAUUCAUGUGCAUAAUUAAUUGAUUUGUUCAUCGUGGAGAUAGUUUUACUGGAAGGCUGUUGGCUUCCCCAGGUGCUAUACCUCACAAUUGUUUAUCGUAUCAGUCUCUGAGUUAUUUAUCUUUAUUUGCAUGCUCAGUUAUAAAUCCCAGUAUGCAAUCUUGCACACUAAUUCUUUGUGCUUCAAAUGGUCCACUGCUCACCUCCUCCUUUUAUUGGUUUGAGUAUUCAAGCUAUGCAUCUAGCUGAUUGGUGAUUCUGAUUUUGUUUUAAACUUUGUAUGUGUUACUUACAGUAGUAGAGCAUAAUUAGUGACAAAUCAAAUGUUGAAUCAGGGUCCUUCGUUGAUGACUUUGGAUCAUCAUUUAUUCCGAAAUGAGCUGAAUAUGGUCGCCUCCCUCCGUUCCAUGAGGAAGUUAGUUCAAUGCGUUAAUCCCUGUUCCUUACAUGUGUGGUUUGCUUUGUUCUAUUCUUACAUUGAUGGAGACAGUAAGUCAUAGAUGUUAUCACUACUGCAAAUCUCAAACAUGUUUUGGCUUAUUCAAAGAUCACACAUGUUUCUUUCCCCAACAUCUAUUCCUAUUGCUCCAUUGACCUGAUUCUGAGUAUUUCCAUGUUAAAAAAUGAUGUUUCCAAACGAUGUAGGAUCAAUGGAAGUAAAUAUCCAAUGUGCCAGGUUAUGCACAACUCAACAUUUGACCUUUGUUAUUUGUAGGAGCAUCUCAUCUUGAAUACUGGUUCUUAGAGCAUUGUUCUCCAGCCCUUAUUUGCUUAACUUACUACAAUAUGCUCCUAAGACACAAAUUAUUCUUGUAUGUGUGUACGCUUACUUAGACACACUCCCCUACCUGAACCCUCAAUUCAUGUUGCAUCUUCUGAAUUCUUGUUUCUAUAUUGGUAUUUUUUUAGAAGUAUUUUUUCGGCAAAUGUUAACGACAGCUGAUAUCUAAGGUAAAAGUCCAGGAAGUUUUAUGUAAUAUGGCAUAUAUGUCGACAAAAGGUACAGUAGUGAAGUGAGAAUAAAGGGUGCAUUCUAUAUAAACUAAAAAUAGUAGUACUAGGAUUUUUUUAAAGAAUUGGUACAUUUAACAGAUAGAGGUUUGCGCGCGAGCUAUGGUACUACGCAGUGUAAGUACGACUUGUUUUGGUAUGAGUGUACUCUCGAGAAGGUUUGCGCAAAAACCUUCUUCAUGGUCCUAAGUCAAUGGUAUACGGUUAUCCAGUAAUACUUGUUCUAGGAAGGCUAACCUUGGAUACAGUGACUUUUUAUAAGGUACUUUUGGUGUUUAACUCUGAUAGCUUUCACAUGUAGUGGUUCCAAGAACUUUGAUAUCACCCUUUACCUUGUAUUUGCGCAGUAGACAUAAACCUUCUGCAACUUACUACUCGAGGACAAAGAUUGUUAGCCAAUUUUUCAUGACUCGGCUCUAAAGCUAUUUUGUUCUUUACAGCCUUAUUUAUAUCUUUUUGACCUGGUUAUAUUUAUUGGUUGGUAUUAUUAUUAAAAAAAUUCGAGAAAGCGCAAAGCGAUUUUGCGUUUCAUUGCAUUGAAAAGGUGGGAAAGUACAUGCCUCCUAGGAGGUUAUGUUUACAGGGUCCUAGCUGGUUGGUUGGUAUUAUUUUAUUCUUUUGGAUUACACAUCCUCUUCUUUUGCUAAAUAACAGCGAUUCUAGAUUGUGGAAUCCUUGAAAGGUUCUUUUUUAUUAACACAAUCUUGUUUUAGUUUAACAAAAUCAUGGCCGGAAUGACACUAGGACCCAGUAUCAUGCCAACCAUUAGAUGAUCAAGAAGUUCAAGCUAUGCGUGGUGGUGGUUGGAGGGCAACUAGAGCAGCGGCUUGUGACGAGGCAUGGCUAGCGGCGGCUAGAGGCGGAGCUGGUCGUGCGGUUUAUGGCCGACAUGGGGCUUGUCGGAGCCGAGGCCGACCACGGCGUGACAAGGCGGCUGGGAUAGGCGAGACGAGGGAGAGGGAGCUGGUGGUGGCAUGGCUUGCCUCACCGGUGGCUGCGUGUGGUGUGUGUGUGUUGUGUCUGGGUGGGGGAGGGGGAAGAUAGAGGGACCACGUGGUGUUUUUUAGUUGGACAUGCAAAGGUCCAAACUGCUACACAGCUCCUCCAGAUUUGUUCUGGUUUGCGGGAAAAUGAUAGUUUGGAAUGCUCCGCGGACCGACAGGGGGCCUCAUUGGAUGACAAAAGUCGACAAAUAUGGUCAAGGGCGAGGCAGGGAGGCCAAGGGCGAAGUGUUGUGGGUGCUUCAUUCGGAUAGAAGUCAAGGGCUGACUCCUAAAUAUCUUGCAGGCCUAAAGUUAUGUUAUUGGUUGCUACAGGUCACCACAUCCACUUCCUAGGGCCGCAAGCGGCAAUGGUGAGGAGGUGAGUGACAACGGGAGGCUAAGGUGAAACUGAUGAGAAGUAGUGCCGCUUCCUCAAUUAUGUGUAUGGAGAAGGGAAAAGUGUGGGUAGCUUUGAGGAAACAGAGAAGUGGCCGGAUGGGCAAUCAACUUUUUUUUAGAAGAUGGAUGGGCAAUCAACUCAUCUGUUGAUUGGAUUGGGGGGUGGCAUGAACAAAGUAAAGGUGAAGAAAGCAAGCUGGACGCUAGGUGGCGGCACCAACAGGGGAAGUGUCAGGCGUGAACCAAACAUCUAUGGCUUGUUGCUUUGAAUCUUGCCGGUCUAGGCAAGGUUUGCUCUUGUCACGAUGCAAUGAUCAACCUCUAAGAAAUUCUUGCGUACAUGUCUUUUAGUUCUAUUUUCCCCCUCAUCCACCUCCA